rnacentral:rRNA from 1 species
GUGGGGAAUCUUCCGCAAUGGACGAAAGUCUGACGGAGCAACGCCGCGUGAGUGAUGAAGGUCUUCGGAUUGUAAAGCUCUGUUAAUCGGGACGAAAGAGCCUAGUGUGAAUAAUGCUAGGAAGUGACGGUACCGGAAUAGAAAGCCACGGCUAACUACGUGCCAGCAGCCGCGGUAAUACGUAGGUGGCAAGCGUUGUCCGGAAUUAUUGGGCGUAAAGCGCGCGCAGGCGGAUCUGCCAGUCUGUCUUAAAAGUUCGGGGCUUAACGCCGUGAUGGGAUGGAAACUACAGAUCUAGAGUAUCGGAGAAGAAAGUGGAAUUCCUAGUGUAGCGGUGAAAUGCGUAGAUAUUAGGAAGAACACCAGUGGCGAAGGCGACUUUCUGGACGAAAACUGACGCUGAGGCGCGAAAGCCAGGGGAGCGAACGGGAUUAGAUACCCGAGUAGUCC